UCUCUCUCUCUCAGCUCUACACUAGUUGGUUACCUCUCACCCUUUCCCUCCCUGUCUACCAAUAAAACUCCACAUGGGAUCGUUAAAAAAACAAAAAGAAUUAAAUUGAAAGUGAACUUGGCCUUUACUUGACAGGCUGCCUUUUAAGCAGAGAUGUUCACAGGUGUGCCUCUAGGACGAGUCACGGAGAUUGACAUAGUGUAGAGCAUGGCUUGCUGGAAGCUGAAAGGCAGAGCAUGCUGGCAGGAGAGAUUUGAGAGGGCCACAAUCAAAAUGGAAGAGGAAAGCAGAGACAUUAAGGAGAUGAAGAUUCAUUGCACAAUCUUACUUCUUAACCUAUCAACUACAGUCUACAUGGACUCUGAGCGUGGGACAGUAUCCUGUGAUGGCUCCCAAGCAGAGCAAAGCUUUACUCACUGGCCUGUGACAAAAUGUCACAAGAAGCAACCAAUCUAUAUACUGGGUGAUGUCCUCAUCAAUAGUAGGAGUAAGGCUGCUACACUGAGUGAUUUAAUGUCAGAAAGGACUCUACACAUAGUCAAGCCAUUGUCCAGAUGGCACCACCACUGCCUGAAUGACCCUGAAGAUGUCAUGAUACUAGAGACUCAUCAGAAAGAUACAGGUGACUCGUUAAGCUCUGCUCAAUAUCUUGUCUGUAGUUUAAAAUCAGCUGUCAGUAUUCAACUAUAUGUUGGUGGCCAGAACUUCUCAUGUGAAUGGAGGCUUUCAAACUCACCAAUAAACACACACAAAAAAAAAACACACAAACUCA